ensembl:lncRNA LINC00320 long intergenic non-protein coding RNA 320
ACUGCCUUUUCUUUCUGGCAUGGAUCAAGAGAAAAGAAAAUACAAGAAAACAGACAGAAGCAAGGCAAGGUACUUCUAUGGAAGGGUGAGCCCUCACAGAUGGAGCAAUGGGGCGCGCACACCUGAACAAGGGAGGGGAAGGAGUUCUUAUCCCUGAUGCAUGUGACCCCUGCUGCUGUGUCCUUCCCCUAUUGGCUAAGGCUUCUGACAGCUUUGGAGAUUGUGACAUUGGAAUAAAGGAAAAACGUACAGGACUCAUGAAGCGCUGAAAUGUUCACAAAUAUCAAGCAAAAGUCAAUGAAAUUUAUUUUGAGCUAUUUACAUCAUUUAAUAAUUGAGCAAGGUAUACUCCUAUGAACAAAAUUUGGAGCAUGUUUGUCUCUCUCUGCCUGGCGUCUUCAGAAUUUGGAAACUAGUUAGUCAUGGAAAUUUAUUUUGAGCUAUUUACAGCAUUUAAUAAUUGAGCAAGGUAUACUCCUAUGAACAAAAUUUGGAGCAUGUUUGUCUCUCUCUGUCUGCCUGGCAUCUACAGAAUUUGGAAACUAGUUAUGCACAUGUACAAGGCUGGUAUUCAUCCCGGUGUACUGGUAUGGCUGCGAAGGUGUCAACUGCACUAACAAGCCAUUUAAAGCUGCUGUCACACCCUUUAAGUACCUUCCGUCUGGACUGGCAGUUCUCCAGCUCUGGUGUGAUGGACCUUCCAACCUUACAGCAGGAAUGGUUUCCAGUUUCAAGGAAGGUAAAGAAUAAGAUAUAGACAUCUGUGGAGGCCUCCAAUAGUUAAUCCUGGAACUAUCUGGAAAAUCAUUUUUACUGAUUAUUCUCCUCUGGACUUGGUAUAUCCCUGUUGGAAAACAUGGAGAAAAGAUGCAAGUCUUACAUUUAAGCUUACCCUCAGUGACAAAGCACUUUUCUUUCUGAAAUUUUAUAACCAGUGAAGAUCACAUCUUAAGGUACAACAAGCAGCAAGUUUAGAAAUGGGAGAUCAAAGAAAUACCUUCUAUCUGAAGAAAGUUUCUAGGAAGCAUUAAACAAUACCAAAGAACAGAAUAUUGAACUUAUGGUCAGAAAAGCAAAUUUGAGUCUUGCCAUGUAUUAAUUAUAUAACUGUGUUUCACUCACUUUGAUAUUUUGGCUACCGUUCCCUUAUCAGUUAAAUUAGCAGAUUAUGUUCAAAACUUUUCAACAUUUUACUACCUGAUACUCUGAAAUUCUAAGUUCUCGGAGAGAUGCCCCCAUAUGUAAGCUGAAUGUUUUACUCAUGCAUUGGAGAAAAAAAAAUUGAAAAUUUGAAAAA